UCCACUCCGUGUCACCUUCACUGAACCA
rnacentral:piRNA from 1 species